rnacentral:misc_RNA from 1 species
CGCACCUUGCGCUCCUUGGUAUUCCGAGGAGCAUGCCUGUUUGAGUGUCAUUAAUUUCUCAACCUUACCAGCUUUGCUGCUUGGUAUGGCUUGGAUGUGGGGGUGUUUUGCAGGCUUUCACAAGUCAGCUCCCCUGAAAUGCAUUAGCGGUACCCUUCUGUGGUAAACGGCUAUUGGUGUGAUAACUAUCUACGCCAUUAGACACCCACAACUUAUAUGGGGGGUUAUGCUGCUUCUAACAGUCCUUUGGACAAUUUUAAAUGACAAUUUUGACCUCAAAUCAGGUAGGAUUACCCGCUGAACUUAA